rfam:Anaerobacillus alkalilacustris strain DSM 18345 Ga0137925_110, whole genome shotgun sequence.
GAACGCCGUAUGAGGUGAAAGCUUCACGUACGGUGUGAACGGGGGAAAAGGAAGCGAUAACUUCAAAUCCUUACCUAUCCGUAU